UAAAACCACGAAUAUCUUACU
rnacentral:siRNA from 1 species